GCACCAGAGACUCUCCACCUCUAAACGUCUCACAUGGUCACAUAGUAUAAGUAGUUCAAAUUAUUAUUAUCCUUCAUGGUUUGGUAAAGUGGCAGCACCACGCAGACGCCUGUGGAUGGAGGUCCAGGUCUCCAGGGUUGCAGAGCUCUCUGGAGGGUUCAGCUCUGGUUGGAGGUUUGUAGCAGCUGAUGAUGUCGGGGAAUAAGAUCGUAAUAAGUGAUAUUACGUUAUGCAAUCGUUGCUACUGUAACUGUGGUGCUAACAUUAUCCACUGAUGUCUUAAAUAGUAACCUUGUUCCAUUAUUAUUAAAUAUCAUUAUUCAGUGUUUCCUCCCUGAAGGAGUAAAGUGUAAAGGUGAUCCAGUACAGUUUAAAUUCAUGUUUAAUAUGGGACAUUAUUAUCAGCUGCUACAAGGUUUCAAACAGGUGGGAACGUUAUAUUUUGUAUUAAUCAAAUGUUUCUAUUUCACAGCGUGAUUACCUCGUCACUGAACACUCGACCUUUGACCCUUCCUGGGUGUCGUCAUUACGGGUUAACAGCCAGUAUUUAGCAGCCGCUGAGGCCACAAAUGGACGUUAAUGCUGUAAAUGACAUUAAUUGUACCAAUAUGAGACGUGUUGGACGCUUUGACAUCAGCUGUUUUUACUGUUCUGAACCUGUCCAACAAUCAGCAGCAGAGUCCUCUCGUGGAUUGUGUCCGCAGCGGUUUGUUCUGGUGGUCAAUCCGUCAACACUGCUGCUGCUGGAUGAACAGAAGAGAGGUGAUCCCACAGUUUGGGUUGUGAGUGGAGGUUUUGGACCUGAAAGGACAUCGGCACACAGUUAUUGUGCCAUUUACCACCUGAAGUCGCGCUGUUUAAAAGUGUUUGAUGCCACUGCAGCUUUCAGAGCGUCUCCAGUUUUACAAUAGAUUAUAUUGUCUAUGAAUCUGUUUUUCAAUGGUUGUAAAUGAUUAAUGAGUCAGUUAAUAAGUUCUACUUUCAUAAUAAAACACUCUUCUCCCUUCUUGUAA